GCGCUCCCCUCCAGAGCCGCCCCGCCCUGCUUCAUCAGCUUCUUGAACUUGGAGCGCUUGUUCUGGAACCAGAUCUUGACCUGCAAGAGCGGACAGCAGCAUGACUCAGGCUAGGUCCAUUGUGCCUAUCAUGGUCCUGGGGAGAUAAGGUGACAGUGGGACAGCGAGAGAGGAUGUCCCUUACCGCCCUGGGAGAAGGGACAACUCGCAGCUGGGGGAACAGACCACCACCACCACCAAUAAGAACCUGGCGGCAGGGGCAGCUCUCCUAGAGCCAGGGGGCGUGGUGGUAAGGGGUGAGAGGGGAUCUAGGCCUUCUCCUGCCAGGGACUCAGCCCAACCUUGGCUGGCAAUCCUCUGGGGAAGACGCAGGGCCUGCACAAUAUAGAGCCUUCAAUUCCAGGAUGAGCAUCAAUAAAAGAAUCGAGUGGAGAAAAGGAGUGGAGGACACUUAUUUGCAAUGCCUUCUCUUCGCCAUCCUUUCUGCCCUUGACUCUGCUUCAAAUCCCGGCCCCAACGUUGGAAACCCGCGACAUUCGUCAUCAAAACGCCCAUGGGCUCCCCGGACUCUCAGAGAAAUUGGGAAGGAAGCGCACCUCACCGCCUUCCACCACGGUGCUCUUCUCCGAGUCGGCCCCUGGAAGGACAGCAGAAGCAGGGGCC